rnacentral:rRNA from 1 species
UACGUAGGGUGCGAGCGUUAAUCGGAAUUACUGGGCGUAAAGCGUGCGCAGGCGGUUCGUUGUGUCGGUGGUGAAAUCCCCGGGCUUAACCUGGGAAUGGCCAUGGAAACUGGCGAACUGGAGUGUGGCAGAGGGGGGUGGAAUUCCGCGUGUAGCAGUGAAAUGCGUAGAGAUGCGGAGGAACACCGGUGGCGAAGGCGGCCCACUGGUCCGGUACUGACGCUGAGGUGCGAAAGCGUGGGGAGCAAACAGG